rnacentral:rRNA from 1 species
GAUGAACGCUGGCGGCGUGCUUAACACAUGCAAGUCGAACGAAGCACUUUAUUUGAUUUCCUUCGGGACUGAUUAUUUUGUGACUGAGUGGCGGACGGGUGAGUAACGCGUGGGUAACCUGCCUUGUACAGGGGGAUAACAGUUGGAAACGGCUGCUAAUACCGCAUAAGCGCACAGCAUCGCAUGAUGCAGUGUGAAAAACUCCGGUGGUAUAAGAUGGACCCGCGUUGGAUUAGCUAGUUGGUGAGGUAACGGCCCACCAAGGCGACGAUCCAUAGCCGACCUGAGAGGGUGACCGGCCACAUUGGGACUGAGACACGGCCCAAACUCCUACGGGAGGCAGCAGUGGGGAAUAUUGCACAAUGGGCGAAAGCCUGAUGCAGCGACGCCGCGUGAGCGAAGAAGUAUUUCGGUAUGUAAAGCUCUAUCAGCAGGGAAGAUAAUGACGGUACCUGACUAAGAAGCACCGGCUAAAUACGUGCCAGCAGCCGCGGUAAUACGUAUGGUGCAAGCGUUAUCCGGAUUUACUGGGUGUAAAGGGAGCGCAGGCGGUGCGGCAAGUCUGAUGUGAAAGCCCGGGGCUCAACCCCGGUACUGCAUUGGAAACUGUCGUACUAGAGUGUCGGAGGGGUAAGCGGAAUUCCUAGUGUAGCGGUGAAAUGCGUAGAUAUUAGGAGGAACACCAGUGGCGAAGGCGGCUUACUGGACGAUAACUGACGCUGAGGCUCGAAAGCGUGGGGAGCAAACAGGAUUAGAUACCCUGGUAGUCCACGCCGUAAACGAUGAA